rnacentral:lncRNA from 1 species
UCUGAGAUUUCAUUCUCUCACCAGGAUGCCAGGGCCUUCUGGAAGUGCCUGUUUGGCAGUUGGAGCUGGCUGGGGGCUGGGACGUAUCUGGACUGUCUGCCACAACACCAACCCACAGCCCCCUUUCGGGCUACUUGGACUUCCUCACAACAUGGCGGCCCUGGGCAGUCAGAUGCUUACACAGCAUCUCAGGGCUAUAGCACGAAGGCACCUGCAUCACCUUCUGUGACCUAGCCUUGGAGGCCACGCAGCGUCUCUUCUGCCACAUUCUAUUAGUUGUGAGUGAGUCAUGAACGUGCUCAGAUUCAGGAGGGAGAGAACAUAAACCCCACUCUCCAGCAGUGGGAGGUAAAGGUCAUAUGGGAAGAAUAUCUUGUGGGAUGGGAGAAA